rnacentral:rRNA from 1 species
CCAGACUCCUACGGGAGGCAGCAGUGGGGAAUAUUGCACAAUGGGGGGAACCCUGAUGCAGCGACGCCGCGUGAGUGAAGAAGUAUUUCGGUAUGUAAAGCUCUAUCAGCAGGGAAGAAAAUGACGGUACCUGACUAAGAAGCCCCGGCUAACUACGUGCCAGCAGCCGCGGUAAUACGUAGGGGGCAAGCGUUAUCCGGAUUUACUGGGUGUAAAGGGAGCGUAGACGGCAUGGCAAGUCAGAUGUGAAAGCCCGGGGCUCAACCCCGGGACUGCAUUUGAAACUGUCAGGCUGGAGUGCAGGAGAGGUAAGUGGAAUUCCUAGUGUAGCGGUGAAAUGCGUAGAUAUUAGGAGGAACACCAGUGGCGAAGGCGGCUUACUGAACUGUAACUGACGUUGAGGCUCGAAAGCGUGGGGAGCAAACAGGAUUAGAUACCCCUGUA